AAAAAAACAUUCUAAAAAUAGUCCAAAAUUAAAUUUAUAUACCCAAUAUAUUCCUGCCGGAACUUGUUUGACCAGUGACAGAGUCUACGCGCGCCGGAGAGACAACCGGAGUGAGCUGGCCCACUGACUGUGGCAGGGAUGGGACCAGGUCUACUGGCCUUAGCCAGAACUCACCGAAGACGGAGAGCAGCGAAUACUAAAAUAUAAUCAAUGCAAAAAUUAAUUUAGCUAACCACAAAUACUAAAAAAAAAAACAUUCUAAAAAUAGUCCAAAAUUAAAUUUAUAUACCCAAUAUAUUCCUGCCGGAACUUGUUUGACCAGUGACAGAGUCUACGCGCGCCGGAGAGACAACCGGAGUGAGCUGGCCCACUGACUGUGGCAGGGAUGGGACCAGGUCUACUGGCCUUAGCCAGAACUCACCGAAGACGGAGAGCAGCGAAGGAUCAGUUGCUGAAUCAACCAAAACGGGCAGCUGUGCUCACCAGAGCUGCGAUCGAACGGCGCGACGUCAAGCGACGACUGUGGCUGAGGUCACGAGGAGCA
rnacentral:lncRNA from 1 species